ACCGAACACCAAGAUAUUUAUUUCUCCAACUAAGAAAGCGCACUAUUUGCAGCAGAAGUAGAUAAGAAGAAGACAAGCCACCCUCUAAGCUCUUUCUCAUCCCCAUACUCAUAAUCAUCAUCUCAAACACUUCAUGGCAACUAAAACACACUCCCACGUUUUCACACACUUCAGUUUCACAGCUACUAGAGCUAGUCACUUGAGUUCACGUAGGUACAUUCGAGUUUCCGACAGGGAUUCUUCCAGAAGCUUCGUGAUCAGCAAUGUGCUCAGUAAUCCGCAUCAGAAACUCCAACAGAGUUCUAGUCAAGAUGGUAUUGGAGAUGCUUUGGACAGAUUUGAUCCGGAUGCUGCAUCUGUUUCAUCAAGUAUCAAGUAUCACGCAGAAAUGACGCCCUCAUUCGCUCCAGAGAAGUUUGAGCUUCCCAAGGCGUUUUAUGCAACUGCAGAAAGUGUUCGGGAUAUGCUUAUUGUAAAUUGGAAUGCCACUUAUAAGUACUAUGAGAAGAUAAACGUAAAGCAGGCAUAUUAUUUGUCUAUGGAGUUUCUUCAGGGUAGAGCGUUGCUUAAUUCUAUCGGAAAUUUAGAGCUCUCAGGGGCAUAUGCAGAGGCUUUGACAAAGCUUGGACAUAAACUAGAAGAUGUAGCAAAGCAGGAACCAGAUGCAGCACUUGGGAAUGGGGGUUUAGGACGGCUUGCAUCCUGCUUCUUGGAUUCCUUGGCCACUCUUAAUUACCCUGCAUGGGGUUACGGUCUUAGAUAUAGAUAUGGACUGUUCAAACAGCUCAUUACAAAAGAUGGACAGGAAGAAGUUGCGGAAAGUUGGCUUGAGAUGGGCAGUCCCUGGGAGAUUGUUAGAAACGAUGUGUCUUAUCCUGUAAAGUUCUAUGGAGAAGUCAUUUCCGGACCUGAUGGAAAGAAAGAAUGGGUUGGGGGAGAGGAUAUCACUGUUGUUGCCUAUGAUGUUCCUAUACCAGGAUAUAAAACCAAAACUACCAUAAACCUUCGAUUAUGGUCAACAAAAGUUGCUUCAUCAGAGUUCGACUUGAAAGCUUAUAAUGCUGGUGAGCAUGCUAAAGCAUAUGAGGCUCUUAAAAAGGCUGAAAAGAUAUGCUACGUUUUGUACCCUGGUGAUGAAUCACAUGAAGGGAAGACUCUUAGAUUAAAGCAGCAAUAUACAUUAUGUUCUGCUUCUCUUCAAGAUAUCAUUGCUCAGUUCGAAAGGAGGUCAGGGGAGGCAAUUAACUGGAAUAACUUUGCUGAAAAGGUUGCAGUGCAAAUGAAUGAUACCCACCCCACACUCUGCAUACCUGAGCUCAUAAGAAUUUUAAUGGAUUUGAAAGGACUGAGCUGGACCGAAGCUUGGAAUAUCACUCAAAGAACUGUGGCAUAUACAAAUCACACUGUCCUGCCAGAGGCUUUAGAGAAAUGGAGUUUAAACCUUCUGAAAGAAUUGCUUCCUCGACAUAUUGAGAUUAUAGAAUUAAUUGACAAGGAGCUGAUUGAUACUAUAAUUUAUAAGUACGGUACUGAGGAUCUUGAAUUGCUGCAAGAAAAAUUUAAAGAAAUGAGGAUUUUGGAUAAUAUUGAAUUACCUUCCUCCAUCUUAGAACUGCUUGUUAAACCUGAAGAAAGCACCAUAAUUACUCUGGAAGCAGAUGGUGAAAUUUCUGAAGUAGAACCUGAAGGGCAGGAUUCAAACAUAAGUGAUACUGACAAGAAGAUAAAGGUAACAUUUGAGCCAGAUCUGCAGCUGCCAAAGCUGGUUCGAAUGGCAAACUUAUGUGUUGUCUCCGGGCAUGCAGUGAAUGGAGUUGCUGAGAUUCAUAGUGAGAUAGUUAAGAAAGAAGUGUUUAAUGAAUUUUACAAGUUGUGGCCUGAGAAAUUUCAAAACAAGACUAAUGGGGUCACACCAAGAAGAUGGAUACGUUUCUGCAAUCCAGAGUUAAGUAAAAUCAUUACCAAGUGGAUAGGAACAGAAGACUGGGUGUUAAAUACAGACAAAUUGGCAGAACUUAGAAAGUUUGCAGAUAAUGACAAGCUUCAAUCUGAAUGGAAGGAAGCAAAACGGCUAGCUAAGGAGAUUGUUGUAUCCUUCAUUAAGGAUAAAACCGGAUAUGUUGUCAGUCCUGAUGCAAUGUUUGACAUUCAGGUCAAGCGCAUCCAUGAGUACAAGAGACAACUAUUAAAUAUUCUGGGAAUUGUUUAUCGGUAUAAAAAAAUGAAAGAAAUGAGCCCUGAAGAGAGGGUAUUGAAAUAUGUUCCGAGAGUGUGCAUAUUUGGGGGAAAAGCAUUUGCAACAUAUGUCCAAGCAAAGAGAAUUGUUAAAUUCAUCACAGAUGUUGGCGCAACCAUAAACCAUGAUGCUGAAAUUGGUGAUCUUUUAAAGGUUGUUUUUGUCCCAGAUUACAACGUCAGUGUUGCGGAGGUGCUUAUUCCUGGCAGUGAGCUGUCCCAACAUAUAAGCACUGCUGGAAUGGAAGCAAGUGGAACUAGCAAUAUGAAAUUCGCAAUGAAUGGUUGUCUUCUUAUUGGAACCUUGGAUGGAGCCAAUGUUGAAAUUAGGGAGGAGGUUGGAGAUGAAAACUUUUUUCUUUUUGGUGCUGAAGCUCAUGAGAUUGCUGAUCUAAGGAAGGAAAGAGCUGAUGGGAAGUUUGUGCCGGAUCCGCGAUUUGAGGAAGUUAAAGCAUUUGUCAGAAGUGGUGUCUUUGGUGCCAACUAUGAUGAACUAAUGGGAUCCUUGGAAGGAAAUGAAGGCUAUGGCCGCGCUGAUUAUUUCCUUGUUGGGAAGGAUUUCCCUAGUUAUGUUGAGUGCCAAGAGCAGGUUGAUGAGGCAUACCGAGAUCAGAAAAAAUGGACUAAAAUGUCGAUCCUGAACACAGCUGGUUCUUUCAAGUUCAGCAGUGACAGAACAAUUCAUCAGUACGCCAAAGACAUAUGGAAGAUUGAGCCUGUUGCAUUACAGUAAUCGUGGUAGUCAUUUUACUUUUAUGUAUCAUAGAAGGUAUAAGAAACCCCAGCUUUGCGCAGAACUGAAGGCCCUCCUCUGAAUUCCUCUGCUGUUUAAAAAUCUUGUACUGUUUGCAAGUAAUCGGGUUUAAACUUUACUCAGUGGUCUGCUAAUCUAUCGUCGCAUUUCUAGGCCAUGUCAAAUAGCUAGUAGCUCACCCUGUUAGAAUGGUGCCCAUCCUACGCCUUGCCAUGUAUAUUUAAUCCGAAU